GACGAACGCUGGCGGCGUGCCUAAUACAUGCAAGUAGAACGCACAGUUUAUACCGUAGCUUGCUACGCCAUACACUGUGAGUUGCGAACGGGUGAGUAACGCGUAGGUAACCUGCCUGGUAGCGGGGGAUAACUAUUGGAAACGAUAGCUAAUACCGCAUAAUAUUGAUUAUUGCAUGAUAAUUGAUUGAAAGAUGCUAUUGCAUCACUACCAGAUGGACCUGCGUUGUAUUAGCUAGUAGGUGAGGUAACGGCUCACCUAGGCGACGAUACAUAGCCGACCUGAGAGGGUGAUCGGCCACACUGGGACUGAGACACGGCCCAGACUCCUACGGGAGGCAGCAGUAGGGAAUCUUCGGCAAUGGACGAAAGUCUGACCGAGCAACGCCGCGUGAGGGAAGAAGGUUUUCGGAUCGUAAAGCUCUGUUGUAAGAGAAGAACGGGUGUGAGAGUGGAAAGUUCACACUGUGACGGUAUCUUACCAGAAAGGGACGGCUAACUACGUG
rnacentral:rRNA from 1 species